GAUGAACGCUGGCGGCGUGCCUAAUACAUGCAAGUCGAGCGAACAGACGAGGAGCUUGCUCCUUUGACGUUAGCGGCGGACGGGUGAGUAACACGUGGGUAACCUACCUAUAAGACUGGGAUAACUUCGGGAAACCGGAGCUAAUACCGGAUAAUAUUUCGAACCGCAUGGUUCGAUAGUGAAAGAUGGCUCUGCUAUCACUUAUAGAUGGACCUGCGCCGUAUUAGCUAGUUGGUAAGGUAACGGCUUACCAAGGCAACGAUACGUAGCCGACCUGAGAGGGUGAUCGGCCACACUGGAACUGAAACACGGUCCAGACUCCUACGGGAGGCAGCAGUAGGGAAUCUUCCGCAAUGGGCGAAAGCCUGACGGAGCAACGCCGCGUGAGUGAUGAAGGUCUUCGGAUCGUAAAACUCUGUUAUUAGGGAAGAACAAACGUGUAAGUAACUGUGCACGUCUUGACGGUACCUAAUCAGAAAGCCACGGCUAACUACGUG
rnacentral:rRNA from 1 species